CAGAGGAGAGGAGAGACGCGAUUGGCUGCUGCAAACUGAAAGCGAAAACCUCUUUUUUCUGAAAGCCUGCAAGACAGUUGAUGGUGUGUGUGUUUUAGGCGUGACUCCAAAGCGUGUCCUCCAGUGCCCUCGCUGUCUCCCACCUCUGCAAACUCAAAGAUAAGCUCAUUGGACUACCAUGGCUUCAGUGAAGAUGGUAAACCCAACGUAAGUUAGUGUUAAGCAUCAUUUCUGGUCACUGGAACUUUAACAGCACUUAGAAAAAUAACAAAGCUGCCUUCAACCUUUUUAUGAUUAAUGUGAAUAAUAAUAAUUUUUAAAAAGUGUUUCUUGAACACUGUUAGCAACAGACUUGAAUUAGUUGACAAAACCAUCAUCAGUUUAUUGUCUUUCAGCAAGAAAAAGGUCAGGAUCUCACAUUGCUUAGCGUCACCUGAGGAAUUUCCUCAGUUCCCCAGUGGAGUUUGAUUAUUUUAAGAGGCUUAAACAACCUACUUCCAUAAAGCAACCUUUAGAAAUACAUUUUUUUUUUAAAUUUUUUUUUUUAAAUUGUGUCUCUGUACAGAGCGUCUAUUGUCCUCAAACUCGAAAAAUGUGCCAAGUUCAACAUGGAUUCCUUUCCUCUUAAGCUAUGUAGGCUGCAUGUCAUGGAAAAAACAUUCAUAGCUCAAGCAAUGCCACAGUUCAAGUAAUGGAGGCAGGAUACUUCCGGACCUCUGGCAGUUCACACAAACAUUGGAGGCCACAUCAUACCAGCGCCACUAAAGAGUGCAUUUUUGUGGCAAAUGUCAACCUCUUGCAACAGCAAUACCUUCACCACCACCACCACCGUCAUCAUACAUUGCAACAAUAGAAAUACUGUUGGAUUGCACUUUCUUCAAGCUUUCAUCUUGUGGCAUGUUUAUAGAAAAAAUAUAUAUAGAAUACAAAAAGCUUAUACUUCUUUGAGUAACAGAAUAUAACAUACAGUACUUCAGAUUAUGUUUUGAUCAGCACAUCAGCAGGUGUACAUAAACUGCCCUACCCUUGCCCAAAUGCAAUUACUGGACUAAACAGGGAUGUUGUUCUGCUCAAUAUUUAGUGUUUUGGUCAAUGGGUAUAUGCUCUUACUAUGGUAUUCUACAGGAUGUUAAUGCUACAUAAUUAUCCACUGUAUAUGAAUGUCAGUUUAUUAAAAAACAAAAAAAAAACAAAAAAAAAAAAAAAGGGGGGGGGGGGGGGGGAGGGGGUGGAAAUAACCAAGAUGCACCGCAACAUUUCACAAAUUCAUGUGGCAUUUUACCCAAAAAAGUACUUGGCCCUCCAAACCACCUGGAUGAAACUGCAUGUUUACGCCAUUCCCCCACCCCACCCCCACAAAAGCACUUUGUAGUAAUAAUCCAAUAUACAUCUCCAACACAUGGGUCAAAUUUUAAAAACUGAACAGUUUUAACUCGAAACAUCUCUAGCAAUGUGAAUUCCUGGCUUAAAAAAAAGAAAAAGUGCAGCACCUGACGUCAGUGAGUAAAUCUCAGGUGGUCAGCAUCCCUACCCAAAAGGUGUGUGUUAAACAAAUGGCAAUAAAUGAAGUACAAAAAAAAUAAA